rnacentral:lncRNA from 1 species
GUUGAAAGAUAGUGCUUCAGGUUAUUUUUCAUGUGCUGCAAUCUGCUGUUGUCAGUCUGCUUAUGUAGCAAUACAAGAUGUUAAUAUGAUAUCUCGGUCUUAGGUGUUCACAGUUCUGUUUUACAAGCAAUUUUCAUAGUACAUAUGGGGAAAAUAUUUUAAAAUAUACCUCUCUCUCUCUGUCUCUCAUUUUUUUACACUAAGCAAAAUUUAUAA